UAGGGAAGUCUUCCACAAUGGACGCAAGUCUGAUGGAGCAACGCCGCGUGAGUGAAGAAGGUCUUCGGAUCGUAAACUCUGUUGUUAGAGAAGAACACGAGUGAGAGUAACUGUUCAUUCGAUGACGGUAUCUAACCAGCAAGUCACGGCUAACUACGUGCCAG
rnacentral:rRNA from 1 species